rnacentral:misc_RNA from 1 species
AUUGCAGUCGUCUGCGUUUAGCUGUUAAAGAUACAGGCAUGUCUUCCUUACCAAAGUCAGACCGGCGUUUACUUCGGCAGAAAAUGGUAAAAAAUAAAGUACGUCUCCUCAAUUUUUACCUGUCCCACGGGAGGGACUUUCUUCAGGAGGUUUUGGAGGUAUACACGUCCCCUGCGCUUCUGUAUGAAGAACUCAUCCAAUCAGACUAUUACUCAGGUCUUUCCCUGGCAGACCAGGAAGCGCUCUAUUCGAUCAAAGAUGACAACACAUUUUCCGACCUGGAGUUAGAGCAGACUUUUUAUCUUUUGACCAGGUUUACACGGAUAAAACGUCCCGUCUGUGGUUGGUGUGGACAAUGUCAGGUACAGGGCCUAAAAAGCGACCAUAUUGGUGAAAACCUGGAGAAAUUUAUGUCACUAUGGAACCUUGUCAACAAAUCAAAUUUCAUGACUGAUGAAAUUUAUGAGGAAAGUUUGCAGACUCUUAAAUUUUUAGGAGACAAUGUUUCAUCAUUUUUUGCCUUUGGGAAAUCAUUCAGAGAAUCUAUGAACCGAGAGUUACAAGAUGAUGGUACAGAUAUUCAGAUUGUGUCAUGUGGCAAAGACGUUAGCAUACAAAUUGGCCAGAACAAUAAAUGCAUUAUGAACGUGGAAGUUUUUGACCAUUUGCAAAGUCAGGAAGAAUCAGGGAAUACAGAGGCUGAAGAUGAUCUAGUCAAGAUGAUCCUUCACUUGAACACAACAUCUACAUCCGGGCUAUACGUUGCCCGUAUAGAGGAACGUAUUCUUCGGUCAUUAUCCGGAGAACAAUUGCUAGAAAUCAACAAAGUUCUACAGGAAAAGUUUGGUGUCCAAAUUGUGGUUUCGAGAAAAGGAUGUGUUGUUCUCGUACUACGCAAAAUGAAACCAAUAUCUCAGAAUCUAAUGGACAAAGGUGUUCUGAAAGAAUUCGUGUCGAUUUUAUUUAAACUAAUUGGAUUUUCCAAUGACGAUCUCUCAAAGAUUAACGUUCAGGUUGAUCUGACACUGGGGAAUUCUGCAGACGUGGACCACUUCAAAGAGUCUCAGUUAAAGAACACCGUUCUUGAUGUGACCCUUGCCCCGAGAUCUGCGAUACAACGUAUGUCGGAUGAGAGGAAGAGAGAACUAGUGUCAACUAUUCUUGAAGUCGCUGAUCCAAAUUUAGAAGACGAGAAUGAAGAACUAAAAAUCACGGCCCAUUUUAUGAAUGAACGCGUUAAGGAAUUUACAGGUGAGUUGUUUGAAAUUGUUAGAAAUUGUUCAACAAUUAUUAAUACGUAUUAGUUAUCUUCUUCUGUAUUUUAAAUGAAUAACAUCUAUCAAAUUGCAGACUGUGGGGAUUCUAUCAGCUCUAAACACACAGAAAAGUCUCCAGCAGCAAACCCAGUUUGUUUGUCAAUAGAAUCGGAAGAAUUUUCACUAUUUACACCAAACGCACAUGAAAUGAAAAAACAAAAUCAUGAGUCCUACUUUACAAGGAAAUACAGCAAGGCUUCAUCAAAAACUCAUCCACUUCUCCACAGAGAAAGGGAACCUGUCAAAACGAAUUCCAAUUUCUUAGUUAAUAUUUGGUGUGUUCAAAUGAUCAUACUUGUAGGACUUUUCACUCUCACCCUCUUUUUGCUGAACUUUGCUUACAUCCAAACGACGAACCAUACAUCGUCUCAGACACCGACACCAUGCAAUGUUAUUCAAAACAUCUCAUUCCUAAAAAGUGCAUGGCCCAAAGAUAGAAUAUAUAUAGAAGCGUUGCCGAGUAACAAGACCAAAAGUGCGAUUUUUCAUCUAGAUUUGAGUUGCAGCAACAUUUCCUUUAUAAACCUUUCAAUAUUUUAUGAGUUUUCCGGGCUUAGCCAUUUAAAUUUGUCCAAAAAUUCCAUGCAUCAAGUCGUUGGGUUGGAUCUUGUUCCGUCGCUUCGAUUUUUAGACUUGUCUAGCAACAGUCUCACACGGAUAAGCGAUCUGCAAACCUUAUCGACAUCUUCCAUCACAGUAUUAGAUUUGAAGAACAAUUAUAUUUCAUCCUUGAAUUCAACAGAUCUUUCAAGAUUUCCAGCUAUUUUAUUUGUAGAUAUCUCGAACAACCCAAUUAAGGAAUUUGGUUUAUUUCCGACAUUGUCUUGCUGUGAUAUACAAUCGUUGAAUUAUAGCUGUGUAGUACAGUACAAUUCCGUAGCUAUUAUAACAGAUAGCUUUAAGGGGGACCACAAACAAGUGAGUACGAAUUAUCAUGUGUUAACCUCCCUCCCACAACAAAAAGCUCGUGUUGACAACACAAUACAUAUAUAAAGAGAGAUAACCAAGUUCCUUGUGUAUGAAGAAUUAUCGCACUGUUGCUACCUCAUGUCGGACUAAAAUUAUGUAUUUUAUUUUGGUUUCCGAGAACAAAUGGGUUUUUUUAACCUGAAAUAGUUAUAUAUUUACAUGCUGUGUCAAUUAUACUUUUUUACUAAAUAAAAAUCAAAAUAUG